rnacentral:rRNA from 1 species
UACGAAGGGGGCUAGCGUUGCUCGGAAUCACUGGGCGUAAAGGGUGCGUAGGCGGGUUUUUAAGUCAGGGGGGAAAUCCUGGAGCUCAACUCCAGAACUGCCUUUGAUACUGAAGAUCUUGAGUUCGGGAGAGGUGAGUGGAACUGCGAGUGUAGAGGUGAAAUUCGUAGAUAUUCGCAAGAACACCAGUGGCGAAGGCGGCUCACUGGCCCGAUACUGACGCUGAGGCACGAAAGCGUGGGGAGCAAACAGG